rnacentral:rRNA from 1 species
AGCAGUGGGGAAUAUUGGACAAUGGGCGAAAGCCUGAUCCAGCCAUGCCGCGUGAGUGAUGACGGCCUUAGGGUUGUAAAGCUCUUUCGCACGCGACGAUAAUGACGGUAGCGUGAGAAGAAGCCCCGGCUAACUUCGUGCCAGCAGCCGCGGUAAUACGAAGGGGGCUAGCGUUGUUCGGAAUCACUGGGCGUAAAGGGUGCGUAGGCGGACUUUUAAGUCAGGGGUGAAAUCCCGAGGCUCAACCUCGGAACUGCCUUUGAUACUGGGGAUCUUGAGUCCGGAAGAGGUGAGUGGAACUGCGAGUGUAGAGGUGAAAUUCGUAGAUAUUCGCAAGAACACCGGUGGCGAAGGCGGCUCACUGGUCCGGAACUGACGCUGAGG